GUAGUCUGAGCUCUAGGUCAGACUGCUGAAUCUGUGGCCUUUCUCCAAUCUAUUGUCUAGGCUGAUUCUCUAUGGUUGGGGAAAAAAAUCUCUCCAAUCUAAAGAGCCCCAUCGGCAAGUUCCAAGCUGAGGACCUGAGAGACUCCGGUGCCCUCCUGUAUGUGGCUCUGGCAAGCCAUGCCCUUUGCUGUGCUCUCAAUGUCCUCUAUUCACAAAGAAGCAAUAAUUUUCCAGCCACUCCCUGCUCUGUCCAGGGCAGCUGGCCUGCCAGUUCUCAGGGUACUGCAGAAGGCCAAUCAUAUCUGCUUCAGAUAGGCACUAAGGGGACCCCAUAAUUCCAUGGGCCCUGCCCCACUCUGAAGUGAAGAGGGUCACAUACCCUCUGUCCCCCACAUCUGGGACCAGCAGCUGCCUCCUUAAUCUGUACUAAGUACCCUCAUUCUGAAGCAGCCUGCCCUUUCCCCUCUACCCCUUAACUUCCUAAGUGUAGUUUAGACAUCCCUUUUAAAAGGUGUAUGCAGGCUAGGGUAUAGCUCAGAGGUACAGCUCCUGCCCUAGUGUGCACAAGCACCUGAGAGGGGAUAAAACAGCUUCUGUUGGCUUCUAUUCCAGAAGUUCGAGGGAGUCCUGGGGUCAGGUAAGUAGCUUCAGGCUCACCCUGGGUUUUGUUUAGCUUUUCUUUGGGAAAACAAGCCCAAGAAACAGUUUUAGCAUAGUUGGUUCAGCACAGCAGAGGUGCCAGACCCUGACCACUGGCACAGGGCCUCUACCCUGGACUUCUCUGGCUCACUCCCUCUGCCUGCUCUGAGCUACUCACGCAUCCCUUCACGUGCCUGAGAGAGACCACUGUCCUUCUCCCGCAAGUCCCUCCCAGAUGCACUACUUCUAAAGGUCUCUCUGGCCUUUCUGGAUGCUGGGCUCUCCUCUCCUUCUCUGAGAAAGACAGCUGAAGGAUAAUUCGAACAUGCUUGACGCUCCAUCCUGAGCUGCUCCCAUCUGUUUCUAAUGAAGUCAUCCACUUCCCAUGUUCUGGGUCCUGUGUGUGUCUGUGUGUCUGUGAAUGUAUACAUGUGCGAGUGUGGUGUCUCUUAGAUUGUGAGCCCUUGGGCAGGGUUCCCUGUCUGAAUAGACGUUCUGUGUGGCACGCCUGGCUGUGGUAAUAAAUGUCCAUCUUC
rnacentral:lncRNA from 1 species